rnacentral:rRNA from 1 species
UGGGGAAUAUUGGACAAUGGGCGAAAGCCUGAUCCAGCCAUGCCGCGUGUGUGAAGAAGGUCUUCGGAUUGUAAAGCACUUUAAGUUGGGAGGAAGGUCAGUAAGCGAAUACCUUGCUGUCUUGAUGUUACCGACAGAAUAAGCACCGGCUAACUCUGUGCCAGCAGCCGCGGUAAUACAGAGGGUGCAAGCGUUAAUCGGAAUUACUGGGCGUAAAGCGCGCGUAGGUGGUUCGUUAAGUUGAAUGUGAAAGCCCCGGGCUCAACCUGGGAACUGCAUCCAAAACUGGCGAGCUAGAGUAGGGCAGAGGGUGGUGGAAUUUCCUGUGUAGCGGUGAAAUGCGUAGAUAUAGGAAGGAACACCAGUGGCGAAGGCGACCACCUGGGCUCAUACUGACACUGAGGUGCGAAAGCGUGGGGAGCAAACAGG